rnacentral:rRNA from 1 species
UGGGGAAUUUUGGACAAUGGGGGCAACCCUGAUCCAGCGAUGCCGCGUGUGUGAAGAAGGCCUUCGGGUUGUAAAGCACUUUAGUUGGGGAAGAAGGCUUGCGGGUGAAUAGCCCGUAAGAUUGACGGUACCCAAAGAAUAAGCACCGGCUAACUCUGUGCCAGCAGCCGCGGUAAUACAGAGGGUGCGAGCGUUAAUCGGAGUUACUGGGCGUAAAGGGCGCGUAGGCGGUUUUGUAAGUAAGAUGUGAAAUCCCCGGGCUUAACCUGGGAACUGCAUCUUAGACUAUAAGACUGGAGUGCAGUAGAGGGUGGUGGAAUUUCCGGUGUAGCGGUGAAAUGCGUAGAGAUCGGAAGGAACAUCAGUGGCGAAGGCGACCACCUGGACUGAGACUGACGCUGAGGCGCGAGAGCGUGGGGAGCAAACAGG